GUUGACAUCGCAGAAGGAAUGAGUUCAGCAAACCAAUUUACUCUCAUGUGGUUGUGUUGGGUUCAGCUUUGGUUGCCCUUUAAAGACAUUGAUUUUUUUUUUAAUCAGGAUCAUACGCCUCCACAUGAGCUCUGUGUCCUUUAAAACAGACACUUUGGAGAUGCUGAGAACCAAGAAAAUGAGCCAAAUGUUUCUACGACUCUUCACUUUGAAUUUCCUUGGGAAUACUGGACACUUCCCUUUUAACAUUUUCAGGGUGACGACUUUUUAGUCUUUGAGGGCUGGUUUUGAAAUGUGAAGAGAAGGAAAAAAGGAAAAGCUAUUUAGAGCUGAGUCUAGACAAUACGACAGAAUAAGGGCACCUCAAAGAUGGCCGCAUCCUGAUUCUUGGAACCUGGGAACAUGUUAAAUUACAUGUGAGAAGAUUUAAGAUGUACUCUCUUGGCAACUUUCAAGUAUGUAGUACAAUAUUGUUAACCAUAGUCACCAUGCUGUGUAUUAGAUCCCCAG
rnacentral:lncRNA from 1 species